UACGGAGGGUGCAAGCGUUGCUCGGAAUUAUUGGGCGUAAAGGGUAGGUAGGUGGUCUCAUUUGUCUGGGGUGAAAGCCUUGGGCUUAACUCAAGAAGUGCCCCAGAAACGGUGAGACUAGAGUCCUGGAGAGGGUCGUGGAAUUCCCGGUGUAGCGGUGAAAUGCGUAGAGAUCGGGAGGAACACCAGAGGCGAAGGCGGCGACCUGGACAGGCACUGACACUCAACUACGAAAGCGCGGGGAGCAAACAGG
rnacentral:rRNA from 1 species